CCCUUAGAUGCUCUGGGCCGCACGCGCGCUACACUGGUCGAUGCAACGAGUUUCUUUCCUUGGCCGACAGGCCUGGGCAAUCUUUGAACAUCGAUCGUGAUCGGGAUAGAUUCUUGUAAUUUUUGAUCUUAAACGAGGAAUUCCUAGUAAACGCAAGUCAUCAGCUUGCAUUGAUUACGUCCCUACCCUUUGUACACACCGCCCGUCGCACCUACCGAUUGAAUGGUCCGGUGAAAUCUCCGGACUGGCGUGAGUCGGAGCAAUCUGACAAACACCGGAAAGUUGAUUAAACCUUACCAUUUAGAGGAAGGUGAAGUCGUAACA
rnacentral:rRNA from 1 species